UGGGGAAUAUUGGACAAUGGGCGCAAGCCUGCUCCAGCCAUGCCGCGUGAGUGAUGAAGGCCCUAGGGUUGUAAAGCUCUUUCACCGGUGAAGAUAAUGACGGUAACCGGAGAAGAAGCCCCGGCUAACUUCGUGCCAGUAGCCGCGGUAAUACGAAGGGGGCUAGCGUUGUUCGGCUUUACUGGGCGUAAAGCGCACGUAGGCGGACUUUUAAGUCAGGGGUGAAAUCCCGGGGCUCAACCCCGGAACUGCCUUUGAUACUGGAAGUCUUGAGUAUGGUAGAGGUGAGUGGAAUUCCGAGUGUAGAGGUGAAAUUCGUAGAUAUUCGGAGGAACACCAGUGGCGAAGGCGGCUCACUGGACCAUUACUGACGCUAAAGUGCGAAAGCGUGGAGAGCAAGCAGG
rnacentral:rRNA from 1 species